rnacentral:tRNA from 1 species
UCAUCUUAUAUUUUAUUAAAAAUAUAAAAUUGCAAAUUUUAAGAACUAUUAAGGUAUA